GUUCGACUGGCGCACGGGUGAGUAACACGUGGGUAACCCACCCUUGAGACCGGGAUACCCUCUCGAAAGGGAGGCUAAUACUGGAUACGUUCCCCGGGACGCAAGAUCUGGGGAGGAAAGGUGGCGAAAGCUGCCGCUCUUGGAGGGGCUCGCGGCCUAUCAGCUAGUUGGUGAGGUAAUGGCUCACCAAGGCUAUGACGGGUAGCUGGUCUGAGAGGACGACCAGCCACACGGGAACUGAGACACGGUCCCGACUCCUACGGGAGGCAGCAGUGGG
rnacentral:rRNA from 1 species